rnacentral:rRNA from 1 species
UACGUAGGGUGCAAGCGUUGUCCGGAAUUAUUGGGCGUAAAGAGCUCGUAGGCGGUCUGUCGCGUCUGCUGUGAAAACUCAGGGCUUAACCCUGAGCUUGCAGUGGGUACGGGCAGACUAGAGUGCGGUAGGGGAGACUGGAAUUCCUGGUGUAGCGGUGAAAUGCGCCAGAUAUCAGGAGGGAACACCGGUGGGCGAAGGCGGGUCUCUGGGCCGUAACUGACGCUGGAGGAGCGGAAAAGCAUGGGGAGCGAACAGG